AUUGAACGCUGGCGGCAUGCCUUACACAUGCAAGUCGAACGGCAGCACGGGUGCUUGCACCUGGUGGCGAGUGGCGAACGGGUGAGUAAUACAUCGGAACAUGUCCUGUAGUGGGGGAUAGCCCGGCGAAAGCCGGAUUAAUACCGCAUACGAUCUACGGAUGAAAGCGGGGGACCUUCGGGCCUCGCGCUAUCGGGUUGGCCGAUGGCUGAUUAGCUAGUUGGUGGGGUAAAGGCCUACCAAGGCGACGAUCAGUAGCUGGUCUGAGAGGACGACCAGCCACACUGGGACUGAGACACGGCCCAGACUCCGACGGGAGGCAGCAGUGGGGAAUUUUGGAAAAUGGGCGAAAGCCUGAUCCAGCAAUGCCGCGGGUGUGAAGAAGGCCUUCGGGUUGUAAAGCACUUUUGUCCGGAAAGAAAUCCUUGGCCCUAAUACGGUCGGGGGAUGACGGUACCGGAAGAAUAAGCACCGGCUAACUACGU
rnacentral:rRNA from 1 species